GGAAGUAAAAGCGUAACAAGGUUUCCGUAGGUGAACCUGCGGAAGGAUCAUUAUUGUAUAACCGAGGUGCGAGGGCUGUCGCUGACCGAAAGGUCGUGCACGCCCGAGUGCCCUCACACACAUCCAUCUCACCCCUAUGUGCACCACCGCGUGGGUCCCCCUUUCGCUUGUUCGGAGGGGGGCUUACGUUUUCACACAAACUUUGUAUGCAGUGUAGAAUGUAUUUUUUGUUUUUGCGAUCACGCAAUCAAUACAACUUUCAACAACGGAUCUCUUGGCUCUC
rnacentral:misc_RNA from 1 species